GAGGAGCAGCGAUGAGUUUAACUGCAGCAGCGAGUGGAUUUGUUGUCUUUCUUCUCUCUGCGUCAGGAGGCCGGAUUUUCAAUCUCAUUCUCGACUCAACUCCCUGGAGAGUUUUCCACAGCCCGUGCCAAUGUUGUUUGAGAGAGGAUGCUGAAGUUCGGUUUUGGACUAAAUCCUUAUGCCAAAGGAGAUAAGUACUCUUCUUUGAAGAAGUACAAUCAGAGGAGUGAGAGACCUUCGACUCCUGAUGACCUCGACCCACCUGCCGUCUGGGCGCAUGAACGAGGGGCUGAGAGACCCUCCUCUCGUGUGGAUAAACCUUCAUCAAUA